rnacentral:rRNA from 1 species
UGGGGAAUAUUGGACAAUGGGCGCAAGCCUGAUCCAGCCAUGCCGCGUGAGUGAUGAAGGCCCUAGGGUUGUAAAGCUCUUUCACUGGUGAAGAUAAUGACGGUAACCGGAGAAGAAGCCCCGGCUAACUUCGUGCCAGCAGCCGCGGUAAUACGAAGGGGGCUAGCGUUGUUCGGAUUUACUGGGCGUAAAGCGCACGUAGGCGGACUUUUAAGUCAGGGGUGAAAUCCCGGGGCUCAACCCCGGAACUGCCUUUGAUACUGGAAGUCUUGAGUAAGGUAGAGGUGAGUGGAAUUCCGGGUGUAGAGGUGAAAUUCGUAGAUAUUCGGAGGAACACCAGUGGCGAAGGCGGCUCACUGGACCAUUACUGACGCUGGGGUGCGAAAGCGUGGGGAGCAAAGAGG